CUCCAUUUUCCAUUCAUGAACCCUAAUUUCGUUCCUCUAAAGUAACUUGUAUAGCCCUCCCCUUUCUCCAGUUGGGUCGGUCGGUCAUAUUCGACAAGCAAUGCCAUCGAUUCCGCUGAGUUCUCUUGUGGUUAUCCUCCCCUAGUUUCGGUGCUAUUGUCGAUCUGAAUCUCUUAUUUUAGCAUUCUCAUAGUUACGAUCGGAUAUGAAUCUAUUAUUUCAUUCUUCCAUUUGUCAUUCUAGUUUUAGAUCCCUGGGAUCGAUGUCGUCAUCUCAAACGUGUAGAAGUUUUGGUCAUUCGACUACAUCAAAUAGAUGUAUAGUGCACAUCGGAAGCAACUUCAGUGGUCGGAAGUGUUCACACCAGUGUGAUGUUGCCGUGAAGGUUGCUGGAACCAAGAAAAAUAGAGGACGAGCGUUCUAUCGUUGUUCCGUUAGGAACGAUGCAAUCGUUGACUGUCGCUAAUUCAAAUGGGUUAACGAAGAACACACCGCUACAAUGGAUUCGAACGUGGUGGCAGAUUUGACGAAACUGAACGAAGCUAUGACAGGAUACAUAACUAAUACCAAGAGGAUAUUAGAUGAGUUAAUAAGAGUUGAUCAGAUAAUUGGAAAGGUAGAGGAAUGAAUUGGCUAUAUUGUUUUGGAAGA
rnacentral:lncRNA from 1 species